GGUUUGUAGCUCAGUGGUAGAGCACUUGCUUAGCAUGUGUGAGGCACUGAGUUUAAUUUUUAGCACCACAUAUAAAAAAUAAAAAAUAAAUAAAAAUAAAGGUCCAUCAACAACUAAAAUAUAUAUAUUUUUAAAAAGUAGGUGAGCUGGGGAUAUAUCUCAGUUGGUAGAGUGCUUACCUCACAUACACAAGGGCCUGGGUUUGAUCCCCAGCACCA
rnacentral:tRNA from 1 species